CCUCACUUUUAGACCCCUGAAAUUCUUCCACCAGUACUCUGUGGUUGCUUCAUCCUCAGUGGUGUGCUGACUGCUUUCCUCACUGGAUGCGUUCUCUCGGCUGUCACCAGGUAGUAGUAAACUUUACAAUUGAAUCCAGAAUAUUGAGUCAUGACAUGAUAGGACCAGAGAUGCUUGUCUUGGAGCUAGAUGUAGUUAAUUAUUGUGCCUUGACCACAUAUUCACCUGUGUGAGGUGUGCUAACAUCACUGGACAGAAAAAGUUGCAAUUUCCUUUUGGAACGAUUACCGGCAGGCUAUAGAAAUCCUGAUCCAAGACUAAAGUGACCAAUCAGAAAUCCGAGCCAAGUAUGUAAAACCCCGGGCUUUCUUCGUGGAUGAGGACAUCUGCCAUUAAUUCACAUGGGAUGAGGCUAUUUCUAGGAGAUGAACUCCUCUGGUCCCCACAAUAGUUUAACUGGUGCAGAUCGGAGGAAUUGGGUGGCAAAGUGGUGGAAGCCAAGUGUAAGAAGAGGAUCCACCAAGAAGAGAGAGAAUUAUCCAACAUGGGGUCAUGUACUGAUUUUCCUGGAGACUGAGUCAGCUAAUCCUAGCUUGAGUCAUGAGGACACCUGCAGGCCAUGUGUAUUCGAGGCACUGUGACAGACAAUCCCACUGGGCCACAGGGAAGAAGGAGGCAUGGCUUCCCAAAGGGGGAAAAUAGGAUGAAGAAAACAACAAACUGGAUAAGCAAAAACAGCACUCCACUACAAUCUCUGUAUGCCGAGCAGACUUUGAGGAUGUUGCAGCAAAAAGGAGGACCAAGAGACUUUGCAGCUGGACUCUUUUGGGGAAUCUGCUCUAGAAGGGAUUAUCAAGCAGCAUGGUGGCCCUAGGAGACCAUCAAUCUACAUAAAUAAGGCCUCAGAGCAGAGCAGCAACUUCUCAACACUUUGCACGCAUCUUGGCAACAGCAUGAUGUAGACCAAGUUUAUAGCAGAAAAGAACAACAGGGCUGGAGUGUGAGAACAUAGUUCUCAUCUGAGAACUCUAAGAAAUAUUAAUACAUAAAAACUGGAAAGCCA